AUCCUGGCUCAGAUUGAACGCUGGCGGCAUGCCUUACACAUGCAAGUCGAACGGCAGCACGGGGCAACCUGGUGGCGAGUGGCGAACGGGUGAGUAAUGCAUCGGAACGUGCCAUUGAGUGGGGGAUAACGUAGCGAAAGUUGCGCUAAUACCGCAUAUUCUGUGAGCAGGAAAGCAGGGGACCGCAAGGCCCUGCGCUCUUUGAGCGGCCGAUGUCAGAUUAGCUAGUUGGUGAGGUAACGGCUUACCAAGGCGACGAUCUGUAGCGGGUCUGAGAGGAUGAUCCGCCACACUGGAACUGAGACACGGUCCAGACUCCUACGGGAGGCAGCAGUGGGGAAUUUUGGACAAUGGGCGCAAGCCUGAUCCAGCCAUGCCGCGUGAGUGAAGAAGGCCUUCGGGUUGUAAAGCUCUUUCGGCCGGGAAGAAAUCGCAUGGGUUAAUACCCUGUGUGGAUGACGGUACCGGAAUAAGAAGCACCGGCUAACUACGUG
rnacentral:rRNA from 1 species